rnacentral:lncRNA from 1 species
UUACUACAUAGAUUACAUUUCCUUAGGAAGAUAAAAAAAUAUCUGAAAGGAAAAGAAAUAAAUUUCCCCAAAAUACAUGUAAAAACACAAAGAAUUUAUACACAAAGGAUUUUCUUCAAUUCAAGUAUGAUAAAAUAGCUGGUAUCAGAAUAACUUUCUUGGCAAAAAUAAUUAUCAAAGAGACAAAAUAAAAGAAAAUCAUCUGAAGGAAAUGGAAAAAUAAAGUAUCAAAAAGACUACUAUCUUUGAAAAAAGAGAAGCAGCACAGCUGGUGAAAUCUGCUUAACCCUAUCUUUUCUGAGGCCAUUCCCAGGUUCUUCCUGCAGGAGUCUAGAACCCAAGAUGACUAUGAUCUCACUUGGAAGGGAAGACAGAAGUCAGACUUUGGGAGGCAAAGCAGAUGAAAAGUGAAGGACACAGUAAUGAACGUACUGCUUAGGGGACUGUGGAAGGAAACCCCCAAAUCUGCAUACUAGCACACUCUAUUGUAAACAACUAGUCCAUUUGCAACCCACGUAUGGGGAGAACACACCUCCCAUGGACUGUUUAUCUUGGGUGGUUAAUGAUCUUGAAUCCAACAUCUACCAAGAUGUGCAAGAAAUUUCACAAGAGAACAAGUCAGCAAGCUCCUGAGAAGGCAGAGAAUUCUUCACAAGUCAAUGGGCUCUUGAAUCCAUAAAAGGACAAGAAGCAAGUACAAGAUUAUAAAAUGUUAAAGAUGAAAUCCCAUCACAAUGUACUUUUUUCAAGCUCUACUGCAAAUUUAAUGCGACUAUCAAUGUUAAUUACACUUUGUCAUAUGAUUUGAGCUUGCUUUAGGCUCAUGCACGGAAAGGAAGAUUCAUUCCCUGCACAAAAUCCGUUGCAUGCCUGGCUUCCUUAAACCUACAAUUGAACAUUCCCAGUGCCAAAAAAAGUUCAACAAAGCUAAACUACGGGAAAAUGUCACUGGCCACAGGGAGCUGGAUCUGUCUGGAACUACCGCAGAGGCUACACAAUGUUCAGAAUCGACCUCCUCAGCUUCGGUGGAAAGACAAGUGGAUCCCUACUCUCCUCUUCUUGAGAACUGCCCUCAGGAAUGUUAGCUCCUCCACACAACACAAAACAAAGGCAUGGGAGCCUUGAGCUGAGACACUGUCAGCAUGAAGUGACUGAAAUCCUUCAUGAAACUGCUCGUUGUGACCCAGGCUGAACACAGGGGUGAAGCCAAGAGGGUGUGAGACAAAUGAGCAGUUGACCUGGGCAGGGGGACUUUGAAUGCUAUUUUUAU